GUGGGGAAUUUUGGACAAUGGGCGAAAGCCUGAUCCAGCCAUGCCGCGUGCAGGAUGAAGGCCUUCGGGUUGUAAACUGCUUUUGUACGGAACGAAAAGACUCCUUCUAAUAAAGGGGGUCCAUGACGGUACCGUAAGAAUAAGCACCGGCUAACUACGUGCCAGCAGCCGCGGUAAUACGUAGGGUGCAAGCGUUAAUCGGAAUUACUGGGCGUAAAGCGUGCGCAGGCGGUUAUAUAAGACAGAUGUGAAAUCCCCGGGCUCAACCUGGGAACUGCAUUUGUGACUGUAUAGCUAGAGUACGGUAGAGGGGGAUGGAAUUCCGCGUGUAGCAGUGAAAUGCGUAGAUAUGCGGAGGAACACCGAUGGCGAAGGCAAUCCCCUGGACCUGUACUGACGCUCAUGCACGAAAGCGUGGGGAGCAAACAGGAUUAGAAACCCCUGUAGUCC
rnacentral:rRNA from 1 species